rnacentral:rRNA from 1 species
UACGUAGGGUGCAAGCGUUAAUCGGAAUUACUGGGCGUAAAGCGUGCGCAGGCGGCUUUGCAAGACAGAUGUGAAAUCCCCGGGCUCAACCUGGGAACUGCAUUUGUGACUGCAUGGCUAGAGUGCGGCAGAGGGGGAUGGAAUUCCGCGUGUAGCAGUGAAAUGCGUGAGAUAUGCGGAGGAACACCGAUGGCGAAGGCAAUCCCCUGGGCCUGCACUGACGCUCAUGCACGAAAGCGUGGGGAGCAAACAGG